rnacentral:rRNA from 1 species
CCCUUAGAUGUUCUGGGCCGCACGCGCGCUACACUGACGAAUGCAACGAGCUUAUAACCUUGGCCGAAAGGUCUGGGUAAUCUCCAAAUUUCGUCGUGAUGGGGAUAGAUUAUUGCAAUUAUUAAUCUUCAACGAGGAAUGCCUAGUAAGCGCAAGUCGUCAGCUUGCGUUGAUUACGUCCCUGCCCUUUGUACACACCGCCCGUCGCUCCUACCGAUUGAAUGGUCCGGUGAAGCGUUCGGACCGUGGCCUUUGGACGGUUCGCCGUCUGUUGGCUGCGGGAAGUUCGUUAAACCUUAUCAUUUAGAGGAAGGAGAANUCGUAACA